rnacentral:sRNA from 1 species
AAACUUGACCGCGCGUUCUGCUGUAACGAGCGGGCUCGGAGGUCCUCCCGCUGCUGUCAUGGUUGGUUCGCUAAACUGCAUCGUCGCUGUGUCCCAGAACAUGGGCAUCGGCAAGAACGGGGACCUGCCCUGGCCACCGCUCAGGUAAACAGAAUCUGGUGAUUAUGGGUAAGAAGACCUGGUUCUCCAUUCCUGAGAAGAAUCGACCUUUAAAGGGUAGAAUUAAUUUAGUUCUCAGCAGAGAACUCAAGAAGCCAUGAAUCACCCAGGCCAUCUUAAACUAUUUGUGACAAGGAUCAUGCAAGACUUUGAAAGUGACACGUUUUUUCCAGAAAUUGAUUUGGAGAAAUAUAAACUUCUGCCAGAAUACCCAGGUGUUCUCUCUGAUGUCCAGGAGGAGAAAGGCAUUAAGUACAAAUUUGAAGUAUAUGAGAAGAAUGAUUAAUAUGAAGGUGUUUUCUGGUUUAAGUUGUUCCCCCUCCCUCUGAAAAAAGUAUGUAUUUUUACAUUAGAAAAGGUCUUUUGUUGACUUUAGAUCUAUAAUUAUUUCUAAGCAACUUGUUUUUAUUCCCCACUACUCUUGUCUCUAUCAGAUACCAUUUAUGAGACAUUCUUGCUAUAACUAAGUGCUUCUCCAAGACCCCAACUGAGUCCCCAGCACCUGCUACAGUGAGCUGCCAUUCCACACCCAUCACAUGUGGCACUCCUGCCAGUCCUUGACAUUGUCGGGCUUUUCACAUGUUGGUAACAUUUAUUAAAGAUGAAGAUCCACAUACCCUUCAACUGAGCAGUUUCACUAGUGGAAAUACCAAAAGCUUCCUACGUGUAUAUCCAGAGGUUUGUAGAUAAAUGUUGCCGCCUUGUUUGUAACAGUGAAAAAUUGAAAACAACCUGGAAGUCCAGUGAUGGGAAAAUGAGUAUGUUUCUGUCUUAGAUUGGGGAACCCAAAGCAGAUUCCAAGACUGAAAUUUCAGUGAAAGCAGUUUAUUUGCUA